rnacentral:rRNA from 1 species
AUGGCUAAGGAUGACGGCGCAGUGACAACGAUCGCCUCCCGGGUCGCCUCCAUCUGCGCCGUCAUCGACCACGCCGUUGCAUCGGAAACCCUGAGCGCCAGGCGAGUGGCCGCCAUCUCCGCCAUGAUCCACGACGUCGCCUCCGCCGCGGAGGAGGGGACGCCGAGAAGCACCAGGAAGUGGCGGCGCAUGGGCAGCUCACGCAGCUACCAGGAGACGCGCAGGAUCGGCGAGGGCCGCUUCGGCGUCGUCCUCAGGGCGCGCCACCGCGCCACCGGCCAGACCGUCGCCCUCAAGGGCCUCCGCUGGACGACGCGCCACAGCCCCGGCUCCGACCAGCUCGUCGGCAAGCUCCUGCGAGAGGCCUGCUUCAUGGCGGCCUGCGGCGGCCACCCCUCCGUCGUCGCUCUCCGCGGCGUCGCGCGCGUGCCCGGCACCAGCGACUACGCCAUCGUCAUGGAGUAUGUCGGCCCGAGCCUGGACCAGGUCGUUUACGACCGCAUGGGCCGCCUCGGCCGCCCGUUCACAGAGGGCGAGGUGCGCGGCGUCAUGCGGCAGUUGCUGGCCGGCGCGGACGCCAUGCACGAGCACCGCAUCAUCCACCGCGACAUCAAGCCGUCCAACGUCCUCGUCGUCCACGACGGCGGCGGCGGUGAUGACCUCGUCGUCAAGAUCUGCGACCACGGGCUGGCGAUGUCCAUGGUCGAGCAGAACGCCGACGGCGCGUUCCUGGCCGCCGGAACGAGGUCGUACAUGGCGCCGGAGAUGCUGCUGCCGAAGCCGCACUACGACACGCGCGUCGACAUGUGGUCUCUGGGCUGCGUGAUGGCCGAGAUGCUCACCGGCGAGGUGCUCUUCGAGAGGGCGGACACCAUGGCCGGCCAGCUCUACAAGAUCUUCGAUGUGCUCGGCGUGCCAGAAAAGAAGAAGGCGCUUAAGGCCUUCAAGUCGCCGUUCUCGUUCCUCGCCGCCGAGGUGAAGCUGUGGCGGCGGCAAGCUCGGCGCGGUGGCAGGCUGCGCGAGCUGUUCCCGGAGAAGACGCUGUCCGAGGACGGGUUCAAGGUCUUGAAAGGGCUGCUCACGUGCAGCCCCAGCAAGCGGUUGGACGCGGCCGCCGCGCUCCGGCUCCCGUGGUUCGCUGACGCCGACGACGACCACACUCCGGUAGUCGCUGCAGUUUCGAAGAGCGGUGGUGCGGCCGCGAGCAUUCGCGCGCUGGCGUCGCACUCGUGGCAGAUGACUCUGUCAUGCUUCGGCCGACCGGUAAGGUCGAAGGCAGUGUAG